AACGAACGCUGGCGGCAGGCUUAACACAUGCAAGUCGAACGCAUCCUUCGGGGUGAGUGGCAGACGGGUGAGUAACGCGUGGGAACGUGCCCUUCAGUUCGGGAUAACCCAGGGAAACUUGGGCUAAUACCGGAUACGUGCGGGAGCAGAAAGAUUUAUCGCUGAAGGAUCGGCCCGCGUCUGAUUAGCUAGUUGGUGGGGUAAUGGCCCACCAAGGCGACGAUCAGUAGCUAGUCUGAGAGGAUGAUCAGCCACAUUGGGACUGAGACACGGCCCAAACUCCUGCGGGAGGCAGCAGUGGGGAAUAUUGGACAAUGGGCGCAAGCCUGAUCCAGCCAUGCCGCGUGAGUGAUGAAGGCCUUAGGGUUGUAAAGCUCUUUCGUCCGGGACGAUAAUGACGGUACCGGAAGAAGAAGCCCCGGCUAACUUCGUGCCAGCCGCCGCAGUAAAAC
rnacentral:rRNA from 1 species